CAUGAAUAUCAUUUGACUGAAAACUUACUUAAAGGUCUUAUCUACAAACACUAAUCCCACAAGAAAAUAAAACAGGAAGGAAAGAUUAAAGUUUGUGCAUGUUGGCUAUCUAAACAUCAAUUUUCAAGAAAUCAAUCAAAAGGAGGUCGGCGGAUAUCAAUAACAGUAGAUAAAACUGCUUAUCACAAAAGAGCCAAUUCAUACCCGAUGAAAGAGGGCGGUUGGAUUUAUGGCAGCAAUCCAUUUCACAUAUAUGGUUCUGAUUACAUGCCAUAAACAAAAUAUGUCGAAAUUUUUGAGUUGUUAAGAAGGGCUCUUCCUAAUGUCACACAUUUCCUAGAAAGGACACGUCUGUUGGUCCACGUGAGCAUCCAUAAAAAUAUUGGUCCAGUUCUAGAUUUUGAAAUGAUCCCACAGAUUCAAUUUUCACUCAAAUCUGUCCUUUGAAUGUCUGUAUGUAUAAUCUAUAUCCCACAUUUAUUGAUGAUGGAGCUCCCACCAUUUCCAUCAACACCAGCACCAUCCCAUCCGGACCCUCUUCUCCUCUCCCUCUUUCAAAAUUCCAUCUCUGCGACUGCAUUACACAAAGACUCAUGUCUGCCAUUCAGGUUCCAAACUUCCAUUCCAUGCCAGUAUUGCAUUGUUUAUAAUUAUUCUAAGCACGAAGAGUUAUUUCCUUUUUACAUUUUCUCUCUUCUUGAUUACCGUAUUAGUUGCACAAUCUUUCAGUCUACAUUCAGGGCAUAUGGAGAAAGUAAAUUUCUAUAAAGGGAAAGUUGGCUCCAAAAGGAGUCUCUUUACCCAUGACAUCUCCCAACGACUUUGCUAUAUAUAAACUCCCAUCAUAUACUUACACACAGACCAAGCUUAACAGUCUGUUCUAACCUUAAGAGAUUCAUUCAAUCCCAAAAUGUCGUUUUCAUAUUCAAGGAACUUCCUAAGACGGUUCUGCGUGGAGGAAUUCCCAACGAAUACACAAACCUAUAGUGGCUUCUUCUCUAAUGAUCUCCUCCCAUCCCUUGGAGCCAGAAUCAACCAAGCAACAAUACUUCGGAGACACAUAGUUUCUCCAUUCAGUCCCCACUAUAGGGCUUGGGAGAUGUUUCUAGUUCUCUUAGUCAUUUACUCGGCCUGGAUUUCUCCAUUUGAGUUUGCAUUUCUGACUUACAAGCAGGAUGCACUGUUUGUUUUUGACAAUAUUGUCAACAGCUUCUUUGCUAUGGAUAUUCUUCUCACCUUCUUCGUGGCAUAUCUUGAUAGCCAAACUUAUCUUUUAGUUGAUGAUCCAAGAAAAAUUGCCAUAAGGUAUCUAUCCACCUGGUUCAUUUUUGAUAUCUGCUCAACAAUACCAUUUCGAGCUAUCAGCCUUCUGUUCAAAAAACACAGUGGUGGACUAGGCUUUAAAUUGCUCAGUAUGCUACGACUUUGGCGUCUCAGACGAGUCAGCUCACUGUUUGCAAGACUUGAAAAGGACAUUCGGUUUAAUUAUUUCUGGACUCGCUGCACAAAACUCAUUUCUGUAACUUUGUUCACUGUACAUUGUGCUGGGUGCUUUAACUACAUUAUUGCAGACAGAUAUCCAGAUCCGAAAAGUACAUGGAUUGGUGCCAUGUAUCCUAAUUUCAAAAAGAUUAGCCUCUGGGACAGAUACGUAACUGCAAUUUAUUGGUCUAUAGUGACACUAACCACAACAGGUUAUGGGGACUUGCACGCUGAGAACCCAAGAGAGAUGCUGUUUGAUAUAUUUUACAUGCUGUUUAACUUGGGAUUGACAGCUUACCUCAUAGGGAACAUGACAAAUCUUGUAGUUCACUGGACCAGCCGCACCAGAAACUUUAGAGAUACAAUAAGAUCAGCUUCAGAAUUUACAAAGCGGAACCAGCUGCCUCCACAUAUACAAGACAAAAUUUUGUCUCACAUAUGUCUAAAGUUCAAAACAGAAGGAUUGAAACAGCAAGAGACCUUGAAUGGCCUGCCGAAAGCCAUUCGUUCCAGCAUUGCUCACUAUCUAUUUUACCCUGUUGUUCAAACUGUCCCUCUAUUCCAGGGAGUGUCACAAGGUUUCCUUUUCCAAAUGGUACCAGAAUUGGAAGCUGAGUACUACCCUCCCAAAGAGGAUUUGAUUUUACAAGAUGAGGCUCCAACAUUUACUUAUAUACUGGUCUCAGGAACUGUUGACUUGAUUGAAAACAUUGAUGGGCAUGAUCAAGUCCUGGGAAAGGCUGGUUCAGGAGAAAUAUUUGGAGAAAUAGGGGUUUUAUGUGGAAAACCUCAGCCAUUUGGCAUUCGAACAACUGAUGUUUCUCAAGUACUAAGGCUGAACAGGACUACUUUACUGAAAAUUCUUCAAACAAACCCAGAAGAUGAACGUAUUAUCAUGAAUAAUCUGUUCACAAAACUGAAAGCAUGUACAAGCAUUGAUAUAGAGGACCAACAGGAUCCAAGAUUGAUCCUAAAUAAUUCGCAUAAUGAAGCAGGAGACUGCUAUGUCCAUGCUGGAGAUAACCCAUGCAGAGUUAGACUGAAACAGGGAUUGAGAGUAGAGAUACCCAAUUCAGAUUUUCUAGAAAGGAAACAACCAAGAAAUGCUUAUGAUGCCUAUAGAAGUCAAAUAGGCAUAAAUUCAUCAGCUGAGGAUGGUGAAACAGCUCUCCAUGUUGCUGUUAGCCAGGGGCAUCUCGAAAUGGUUAGAAUUUUGCUGGAAAGAGGAGCAAAUGCAAAUAAACCAGAUAUGAGAGGGUGGACAGCAAAAGCAUUAGCCUUACUAUGUGAUAACAAAGGAAUAUAUGACCUUAUAUUGAGUUACGAAAAUAAGAAGAAAGUAGAUAAUCACAGAGUCGAGUUUCUUGGGCCAGAAAUAGCUGAAAAAACUAGACAUAUCGAGCCAACAGAAAAUGGGGCUGCUGAUUAUUUGAAAAAUAGUUGUAGGAAUCUUAUGCAUGUCAGUUCUAGCAGUUGUAGCCAUCACAGUAGUACAGAAGCAAUACAAUCAUCCAGGAAGAGAGUCACCAUUCACAUGAAGUUUCCAGAGAAAGAUAUUUCACAAAAGCAGCAUGGAAAGCUAAUUAUGCUACCUGAAUCACUUGACGAGCUAUUCAAACUAGCAGAUCAAAAAUUCGGUGAAAGGAAUCUUACGAAAGUUGUAAAUGCCGAGAAUGCAGAAAUAGAUGACUUAAGUGUCAUACGAGAUGGUGACCAUUUGUUUGUUCUGACAAACCAGUGUGAAGGCAGUGUGUGAUGUGACUUAAGAAUUACAAGGCUAUAAUGUAAGCGUGCAAAUAGCUGCAUUUCAAAGCCUUCCAAUCAGGCCCUGCAUUUAGCUUCUCGGAUCGGGGCUAUGGAGUGAUCUGACAUUUUAUCAGGUGAUAGCCUUCUCCAAAACCUUCCAAAGAUACAGCUUCCAUCCAUAUUCGCUUUUUGCCUUGAAUCCAACAUUUUUAGCUAUACAAUCAGUUGAAUAAUGAAUGAGAUGUGAUUAAAAUAAAAACUGAUAUAUAGAACAAGAAAUCUGCAUUUACUACAUUUUAGACAUUCACGAUUUACUAGAGAAAAACUCAUCUUUAUCAUCUGCCAAAAUGAAAUAAUAAUGAGUGGAAACACUUUCUAAAUAAAGAUGGCAUGAUAAAACAUUAAAAAGAAGCAUGCUUUGAUUUUAAAAAUCAAUAAAUAUGAAGAGAACUAUGAAAAUAGAUUAGGUACAGCUCAUAGACAAACAUGUCCCUUGUAACAUAAUCCUACGCCACAGGAUAUAAGUAUCUUUCUUUAUAUGGAUUAUUUGACAGAAUGUUAAAUUCAACUCCAAAUUAUAUCAAGAGCACUCACAAAUCCUUGUAACCAUUAUUUCAACUAAAAGUACCCUUACAAGUUGAUUUAAAAUUCAAUAACUUGUCACUAUGAUAAUAUUAUAAGACUUACUGAAUGUCAUCAAGUUCUAUAGAAUUUAAUUUUUACAAAGACAAUUUGAUAAAGUUCGUAACAUAACAAACCAUUUCUAAUUUUAGCCCUUGUUUGAGCCGCAUUAUCUCAAAAUUUUUCUCCAACGUUAUUUUCGGUCACACAAUCUUCCAAUAAAAUAAUUUUGCACAUAAAGCCAAACUAUUUCCCUACCUUUUAACCACACAUUAUCCAAAAAAUAACUAUUAUAAAACUCAUUUUUCACAAAAAAUGGGCCAAUAUGGUACAAACUAAAAAUUUCUUCGGAAAUUCACCGAGUCAACCUAUCACAAGCUCAAAGCUUAAAAUUCAAAUAAUUGAUCAAUAUGAAAUCAAAAAGAGAAUUAAGUGCAGUUCUGCGGUCUUAAAUUUGAAAAAAUGCCUAAUAAAUAACCGCUGGUUAGCUCUGUCGCAAUGUAAACUUUCACUGAACAAGACAGCGAUUUCGAAAUGCACCCUCUCCCUUAUUAUUGUGUGCUCCCCCGCGACCGCAAGCUACUGUGUUCGAUUUAGGCGGGAAAUUAACAGGGUUUUGGUUCCAUUUAUUCUGUGUGCUCCCGAGUUUGAUAAGCUCGGUUGGGCAAGGAAUGAGGCCCGGUCCAAACUGGGACGUGGGCCUUUUUUUGGUUCGAGAUGGAGGCCCAACUUCUGAUGAGUGUGACUGCUGGAUCCUCGACCUAUCAAACGUGCAAUCCGAAUACCUAUCAUUUCGAAACAGUGCAACCAUGGUCCUCAAUAGGUAACAUUUUUGAGCUAUUAUUGGGUGACAACCCCCUGGACGUCCAGGGGGUUGUCCAAGGGGCUUUAGCCAACAUUUUUACUCGUGUACGGACCACUCUUGCCCAGUUUUGAAAGGUUAAGCACUCUGGUGCUAUAUUUGGUAAGUUGGGAACUCAAAUAUCACCUUUAUCAAAGGUUGAAGACUCCAAGUAGAAUUACCCUUUCUUGACGAUUGUCCAUAGAAUAUAAAAAAUUAUGCUACUUGCAUAUAACAGAGUUACAUAAUAAUUUGCAUAUGAAAGAAGUG